UACAGAGGGGGCAAGCGUUAUUCGGAAUUAUUGGGCGUAAAGGGCGCGUAGGCGGCCAACUAAGUCAGACGUGAAAUCCCUCGGCUUAACCGGGGAACUGCGUCUGAUACUGGAUGGCUUGAGUGUGGGAGAGGGAUGCGGAAUUCCAGGUGUAGCGGUGAAAUGCGUAGAUAUCUGGAGGAACACCGGUGGCGAAGGCGGCAUCCUGGACCAUUACUGACGCUGAGGAGCGAAAGCCAGGGGAGCAAACGGG
rnacentral:rRNA from 1 species